UACAGAGGGUGCGAGCGUUAAUCGGAGUGACUGGGCGUAAAGCGCACGUAGGCGGCUUUACAAGUCAGAGGUGAAAGCCCGGAGCUCAACUCCGGAAUUGCCUUUGAGACUGUAUCGCUUGAACACGGGAGAGGUGAGUGGAAUUCCGAGUGUAGAGGUGAAAUUCGUAGAUAUUCGGAAGAACACCAGUGGCGAAGGCGGCUCACUGGACCGUUGUUGACGCUGAGGUGCGAAAGCGUGGGGAGCAAACAGG
rnacentral:rRNA from 1 species